GAACAAUGUAACCAGAAGUUUCGUGUGUUAUAUUGUUUUUAUGGUCACUUACCUGUGAUAAUGGUGCUUACCUAUGACAAAGACAUAGUGCUCCACAUCUUCAUUGUCACAACCAAAUAGAACUAUGUCCUCUUCUACCGAAAGUUAUUUCAAGAUGAGGAAUGCCUCUCAUUGGUCGGGGGUGUAUCUUUCAUGCGAAAGAAGGACUCACCUUUCUUUGCACGAGUGAACCAUUAGAUCAUCCACUGGUCACUUUGAGAACUGUGCAGGUGGCUGAAUGGCAAAAUUCAGAGCACUUUGAGAUCUUUGUGGUGGGUGAUCAACAGUGGAUUCGUGCGAAGGAAGGUGGGUCCUUCGUUCGUCUGAAAGAUACAACCUCAAUCCGACUCUCACUGGAUCAGAUCUCAGUUUGUGUAAGAUGUCUCCCUCAGUCAAUCCCUUAAAUGGAUGAGGGUUUUACUACCACAUAUAGUCUACAGCAAUACACCUCUGAUUCUCUUGUGUGAAGAUCUAACCAUAAUGUCACGUCUGGUUGAAUCAACAGCAAUGUAAUCAUAAGAUGUGCUGUUUUAUGAUCAUCUACACUUUUAAGACCAUUUUGUAGCAAUCCACUGUUAUCAGCAUGAGAAGCCUGCACAGAAUUAAUCUAAUAGGAAUAUCUUGGAACCAAUCAAAUAUCAAUUAAAGGACAAAGAAUCCAUUAUGAGAACCUG
rnacentral:lncRNA from 1 species